ACAAAUUCUAUUAUAAACUUAUAGUGAAAUAUGUUUAUACUCACUAGGAGACAUAUUUGUUCGAGCAGCAAUUGAUGUUGGUUCUCCAAAUGUUCUUCUUGCAUCUUUAAACCAUGUUAGCUGAAUACAAUAAAUUGUGUUAGUUUAAUCCAACAAAGUAAUUAUUAUAAUUUAAGUAAUUGUAUACCUCAUUUCCAAAUUGGCCAACUGCUGGUGAUGCAGGGUCUAAUUUAGAGUAUACAUUAUGUACAGCA
rnacentral:lncRNA from 1 species